rnacentral:rRNA from 1 species
GACGAACGCUGGCGGCGUGCUUAACACAUGCAAGUCGAACGGAAAGGCCCCUUUGGGGGUACUCGCUUGGCGAACGGGUGAGUAACACGUGAGUAACCUGCCCUUGCCUUCCUGAUAACUUCAGGUAACUGGGUCUAAUACCUGCUAGGAAUCCUUGCUGCAUGGUUGGGGUUGUGAAGCUUCGGCGGUUUUGGAUGGACUCGCGGCUUAUCAGCUUGUUGGUGGGGUAGUGGCUUACCAAGGCUUUGACGGGUAGCCGGCCUGAGAGGGCGACCGGCCACAUUGGGACUGAGAUACGGCCCAGAAUCCUACGGGAGGCAGCAGUGGGGAAUAAUGCACAAUGGGCGGAAGCCUGAUGCAGCAACGCCGCGUGGGGGAUGACGGCCUUCGGGUUGUAAACCGCUUUCAGCAGGGGAGAAGCUUGUGGUGACGGUACCUGCAGAAGAAGCACCGGCUAACUACGUG